rnacentral:misc_RNA from 1 species
GCGUUGGGUAUUUCUGAAGGAGUUUCUGUACCGGAGCAAGAGCGAGGGGAGGGGGACGACUGUGGCGAAGGAGAAGGAGAAAUUCUGGCACUCGCUCUCAUUUUCUCCUUCGUCGUCGAAGGACAAAUCGAAGAAAGCGCCGCCGGUAGCAGCGGCGGCAAAGAAGCCGCCGGCUAGUGGGGCUGGGAAGCGGCGGGGGCCGGCGCCGUCGGCGCACGAGCGGC